CAGAGAUAGCUCGCUAUCUGCUGACGAGCGGCGGACGGGUGAGUAAUGCUUGGGAAUAUGCCUUAUGGUGGGGGACAACAGUUGGAAACGACUGCUAAUACCGCAUAACGUCUACGGACCAAAGGGGGGGAUUCUUCGGAACCUCUCGCCAUUUGAUUAGCCCAAGUGAGAUUAGCUAGUUGGUGAGGUAAUGGCUCACCAAGGCGACGAUCUCUAGCUGGUUUGAGAGGAUGAUCAGCCACACUGGGACUGAGACACGGCCCAGACUCCUACGGGAGGCAGCAGUGGGGAAUAUUGCACAAUGGGCGAAAGCCUGAUGCAGCCAUGCCGCGUGUGUGAAGAAGGCCUUCGGGUUGUAAAGCACUUUCAGUUGUGAGGAAAGGGGUGUAGUUAAUAGCUACAUUCUGUGACGUUAACAACAGAAGAAGCACCGGCUAACUCCGUGCCAGCAGCCGCGGUAAUACGGAGGGUGCGAGCGUUAAUCGGAAUUACUGGGCGUAAAGCGUGCGUAGGCGGUUUGUUAAGCAAGAUGUGAAAGCCCAGGGCUCAACCUUGGAACUGCAUUUUGAACUGGCAAACUAGAGUACUGUAGAGGGUGGUGGAAUUUCCAGUGUAGCGGUGAAAUGCGUA
rnacentral:rRNA from 1 species